rnacentral:ncRNA from 1 species
CAGAACAAAGCAAGCAGGAAAGACUGGGUGAAGCGAUAGGGCUACACACAAGUAACAUGGUAGUUAGGCUGUGAGAAUGACAGACAGAGUGUGUGAAGAAUAAACAUGACCCGGCAAAACAGUUGAAGAAAGUAGGAACUGUAGGACAAGAAAGCAAAGUGAACUGUACUAAUUGAAGAAAACAGUUUAGCACUAGCCAAUAGUGACUUUACUCCUUAACCAAGAAGCAGUUAAACGGAAGAAUCAACAAGCGAGAGGACACAGUACUUUGUUCUG